rnacentral:rRNA from 1 species
UCCGGCGCCAUAGGAUGUGGCUGCGGCCGAUUAGGUAGACGGUGGGGUAACGGCCCACCGUGCCAAUAAUCGGUACGGGUUGUGAGAGCAAGAGCCCGGAGACGGUAUCUGAGACAAGAUACCGGGCCCUACGGGGCGCAGCAGGCGCGAAACCUUUACACUGCACGCCAGUGCGAUAAGGGGACUCCGAGUGCGAGGGCAUAUAGUCCUCGCUUUUUGUAACCGUAGGAAGGUUACAGAAUAAGUGCUGGGCAAGACCGGUGCCAGCCGCCGCGGUAAUACCGGCAGCACGAGUGAUGACCGCUAUUAUUGGGCCCUAAAGCGUCCGUAGCUGGCCGCGCAAGUCUAUCGGGAAAUCCGCACGCCUAACGUGCGGGCGUCCGGUGGAAACUGCGCGGCUUGGGACCGGAAGAUCCAGAGGGUACGUCUCGGGGUAGGAGUGAAAUCCCGUAAUCCUGGACGGACCNCCGGUGGCGAAAGCGCUCUGGAAAGACGGAUCCGACGGUGAGGGACGAAAGCUCGGGUCACGAACCGGAUUAGAUACCCGGGUAGUCCGAGCUGUAAACGAUGUCUGCUAGGUGUGUCACAGACUACGAG